rnacentral:rRNA from 1 species
UGCCGGCGAGCGGCGGACGGGUGAGUAAUGCCUGGGGAUCUGCCCAGUCGAGGGGGAUAACUACUGGAAACGGUAGCUAAUACCGCAUACGCCCUACGGGGGAAAGCAGGGGACCUUCGGGCCUUGCGCGAUUGGAUGAACCCAGGUGGGAUUAGCUAGUUGGUGGGGUAAUGGCUCACCAAGGCGACGAUCCCUAGCUGGUCUGAGAGGAUGAUCAGCCACACUGGAACUGAGACACGGUCCAGACUCC